CCCUGGUUAGCUCAGUUGGUAAACCGCUCCACCUGUAAUGGAGAGGUCCCGGGUUCGAUACCCGGACCAGGCG
rfam:Ixodes scapularis strain Wikel colony gcontig_1107728945846, whole genome shotgun sequence.